rnacentral:rRNA from 1 species
UACGGAGGGUGCAAGCGUUAUCCGGAUUCACUGGGUUUAAAGGGUGCGUAGGUGGGUCUGUAAGUCAGUGGUGAAAUCUCCAAGCUUAACUUGGAACUGCCGUUGAUACUAUAGAUCUUGAAUGCUGUGGAGGUGAGCGGAAUAUGUCAUGUAGCGGUGAAAUGCUUAGAUAUGACAUAGAACACCAAUUGCGAAGGCAGCUCACUACCCAGAUAUUGACACUGAGGCACGAAAGCGUGGGGAUCAAACAGG